rnacentral:ncRNA from 1 species
AAUAAACCAUUGAAGAGAUUAGUAGCCUUCUUUCAGGCAGAUAGAGACAGGGUGGUUUGGUGAAAACCCGAUGCUUGAUACAGGUGAAUCCGCCUCGGAGGGGCUGCGACGAGCAGCACGGUCACACCGUUACAUGUGUUUGAGGAUGGUUAUUACCAUUGAAUUAGGGUGGCACCGCGAGUCAUAUCGUCCCUUCG